rnacentral:rRNA from 1 species
UACGUAGGUGGCAAGCGUUGUCCGGAUUUAUUGGGUUUAAAGGGUGCGUAGGCGGCCUUAUAAGUCAGUGCUGAAAUAUCCCGGCUUAACCGGGAGGGUGGCAUUGAUACUGUAGGGCUUGAGUGUAGUCGAGGUAGGCGGAAUUGACGGUGUAACGGUGAAAUGCUUAGAUAUCGUCAAGAACACCGAUAGUGUAGACAGCUUACUAGGCUACAACUGACGCUGAGGCACGAAAGUGUGGGGAUCAAACAGG